AUAAGGGAAAAAUUCGAAGCCAUUCAAAGAACGUACGUUCUCUGCAUGAAACAAAGGACCGUAUAAUAAUCAACGGUCUCUGAUAAAACUCUUGCUGUCCAGGUUAAACGGAUGUAAGUUUUCGAGUAAAUUGCAAUUGGUCAAAAAUUGUAACCAAGUCUGAAACCGUCAGCAGCAUGUACGGUGACUAUAUACCGCAGCCAUCGAAUCAUGUGAUUGAUGAACCUUUAAAAUUAUUCCAAUACAAAACACACAAAUUUUUAUUUUUAAACAAGAAUAUGUAUAUUAUGUAUUUCGUUUAAGUAUGAUCAUCAAUUCAACUACAGUCGAAUUAGAAGUUUUAUUUAUCAUACACAUCCGUCCUGCGUCCCUUAGAUUUACAAAAUUCUGUAAAAUUUCAUAUUUGCUAUUUAUAUUUUUUCUAAAAUAUUUAUUAUUAAAUAUUUGGAAAUUAUAUUGAUCCCACACACAUACUCUUGUACAAGAGGAAAAUAAAAACAUAAAAAUAUAAGUAUGUAUGCAAAUAUAAUGCAACACUAUUAAUUCAGAAUAAAUAAAUUUACAAAAUAUAGAUGUUAAAUAUACACUACGUAUGAAAGAUUUUUAUUACAUAAAGUACUUCUGCUAUGCGUGACGCAAGACGAUUGCAUUAGUAUCACAUAAUUUCAAAGUGCAAAGUGCGUCAUUUAGCAUACAAAAUCGAAAUCAUAUAAAUUUCAUUUGCAGUUUAAGACAUAUUACAUUAUUAACAUAAAGUUAUAAUUUCCAAACAUACGUAUGUAUGUACUUUUGGAUUACAAAAUUAACUACUUUGUUGAUUCUGGCAAUCCGUUGAAGAUCACUUGCAAGAUGCUUAAUAAUUUUCGUUUUCAUGUUUUUUUUUGUGUGUUUGUUGUAUUAAAUUAUAAAUUCUCUACUAUCCGUACAACAAAAUCAUAA